UACGUAGGGUGCAAGCGUUGUCCGGAUUUAUUGGGCGUAAAGAGCUCGUAGGCGGUUAAAUAAGUCAGACGUGAAAUCCCUCGGCUUAACCGGGGAACUGCGUCUGAUACUGGAUGGCUUGAGUUUGGGAGAGGGAUGCGGAAUUCCAGGUGUAGCGGUGAAAUGCGUAGAUAUCUGGAGGAACACCGGUGGCGAAGGCGGCAUCCUGGACCAAUACUGACGCUGAGGAGCGAAAGCCAGGGGAGCAAACGGG
rnacentral:rRNA from 1 species